rnacentral:tRNA from 1 species
GCGGGUAUGGCGGAAUUGGUAGACGCAGUGGAUUUAGGUUCCACCGCUGAAAGGCAUGGGAGUUCGAGUCUCUCUACCCGCACCA